AAAAAGGAAGCCCGGCUGGGCGUCUGUCCAAAAUCCAAACGCUCCUGCGAAACGCACCGCUCCCUGCUUUAAAGCGCUUGUACUCUAAGACUCGGCGCUUUUGACCGGUUGUACCUUGCGCUUAAAUUUCGGUUACAAUAUUUACACGGGCGGUGCUACAGUGCGCCGAGAGCGAACCUUUGCGUUUCUCUCCGAUACAAAGCGGAGUUGAAAACUCCGGAUUUAGGGUUUUAGCGGGUCGGGUGCGGAGCUCCGAAGCCCUAACCAGAGCUAUUUCUGGCUCUGCUCGGCGGUGCAUUUUAGAGAGAGAGUGAGGAUGGAAUUGGAGGAAGAUAUGGAGGUUGAGCAAGUUUUAAUGGCGCAGGAAGUGGACAUUGACUACGAGUACGAUGCAGCUCGGUACUUCGACUUUGGUAGGCAGGAGACUCCGGCUGAGGCUCGCCGCGCCGAGCUCUGGUUCGAGUCCGCCAAGAGCUACCCGCCGUCUCCUGUUGUGACAAGGUUAAUACUUGGACUGGAAACCCUCCUGGAAAAUGUAAACACCUUGCCGAAAUCCAAUGCGGAGACUGCAAAUGACAGCAAUUGUGAUAUCGGUGUGGGCACAAAAGCAUGUGCAAUGGAUGAAAAUAGCAGAGCUGAAGGAAUGAAUAGAGGGAUCUUUGGAAAUUUACAAAAAGUUUUAAAUCAACCAAAUGGAGCUGGUACAGGGGUGACAGUCAACAGUUACUUAAACGGUGAUAAGCUUAAGGGUAAAAGUAAUGCUUCUGUAAAGCCAUCUUUCCCCAGGAGCUCAACUUUGAUGAAGCCUACUGCAAGUCAGCUCGCUAAGCAAAAUCUGAAGUCUCUAAAUGGCGGUUCCAGAUUCCAGAUGCUGCAUGUUCAAAAUAAUGAGAAGAGCUUAUGUAGUUCUUCUGGGGUUGAAAGUCAAGCUCCCAAAAGACAGAAGCUAGAUGGAGGACACUUGCGUAAGGUUACUGAUGUGAAGGAGCAAACUAAUUUCAUCCACAAGGUGCCUAAAAAGGAUGAAACUUUUGACAAAACCACUGCACAUGCUAAGUUGAGACUUACUAUUUCAAGAGAGCCUGACUUUGAAACGGCACAUAGGGCACACAGGAUUAGGCCUAACAAUGGAUCAAUGUUAGAACAAGUGACAUCAACUCAUCGAAAAUUCAAAGCUCGUCCAUUGAACCGAAAAAUUUUUGAGGCUCCUUCAUUGCCACUCCCAACAAGGAGCACUCCAAAGUUGCCAGAUUUUCAAGAGUUUCACCUGAAGACAAUGGAAAGGGCUAUGCAAAAUGCAUCGGCUGUUUCAUCAUCCUCACAUCAUCUCAACGAUCAUGACAAGGAUUUGGAAAAACCAAGUAUUUCUACCGUCGUGGAAAACAGAAAAGGAGAAUCCAGAAGACCAAGUACAGUGGAAUGUCCUAAGCAAGAUAGAAAUACAGGAAUGCAAACAUUUAAAGCUCGUCCUCUUAACAAAAGGAUAUUUUCUAGCAAAGGGGAUAUUGGUGUUUUCUGGAAUAGUAAGCGGGAAACCACUGUAUCAAUGGAAUUUAAUUUUCAGACAGACAGGGGAGUACAGCAAUUUCCGCCAACUGAAUUUUUUAGUAAGCUCUCAUUGACAACUGAGCUCCAGCAGAAUAAUGGAUCACCAGUGAAACUUUCCCAGCCUACAUCUUUGUCUACGAAGGACUCAAAAGAAAAUAGAUCGACUUUUUUGCAACAAGAACGUGAGCACAUCCUCUUGUAGAUAAAAGAAAAACCUUCUCUGUUUGGUGGAAAGCAGGCUCAAGACGGGUGCAUGACGGAUGCUGAUAAGAAACUGAGGAUGAGGAGGUUGGGCGUCUGUUGACGUUAAAGAGUGGCAUCUACAUGUGAAUCAGAUUUUGGUAUCUUCUAUCAAAAUAAAAGGUCGGAAAUAUGUUUACCAUUGAUGGUUAUACAACUCCGCAAAAAGAUUAUCAAGCACUUCUGUUGUAAAUGGAGUCCACAAUGGCUGGUCUUCUUUCAAAUAUAUGUAAAACCAGCUCUUUUUUCUUUUCAUUUCCCCAAUUUGUAGGUUUCAGUUGAAAUCUAAUAAAACGUAGAAAGGCCGGUGUUGUAGAGCUGUUAA